rnacentral:rRNA from 1 species
AACGAACGCUGGCGGCAUGCCUAACACAUGCAAGUCGAACGAGACCUUCGGGUCUAGUGGCGCACGGGUGCGUAACGCGUGGGAAUCUGCCCUUGGGUUCGGAAUAACAGUUAGAAAUGACUGCUAAUACCGGAUAAUGACGUAAGUCCAAAGAUUUAUCGCCCAAGGAUGAGCCCGCGUAGGAUUAGCUUGUUGGUGAGGUAAAGGCUCACCAAGGCGACGAUCCUUAGCUGGUCUGAGAGGAUGAUCAGCCACACUGGGACUGAGACACGGCCCAGACUCCUACGGGAGGCAGCAGUGGGGAAUAUUGGACAAUGGGAGAAAGCCUGAUCCAGCAAUGCCGCGUGAGUGAUGAAGGCCUUAGGGUUGUAAAGCUCUUCUACCCGGGAUGAUAAUUACAGUACCGGGAGAAUAAGCCCCGGCUAACUCCGUGCCAGCCGCCGCCGUAAGAC